rnacentral:rRNA from 1 species
AGUGAACGCUGGCGGUAGGCCUAACACAUGCAAGUCGAACGGCAGCACAGUAAGAGCUUGCUCUUACGGGUGGCGAGUGGCGGACGGGUGAGGAAUACAUCGGAAUCUACUUUUUCGUGGGGGAUAACGUAGGGAAACUUACGCUAAUACCGCAUACGACCUACGGGUGAGAGCAGGGGAUCUUCGGACCUUGCGCGAUUGAAUGAGCCGAUGUCGGAUUAGCUAGUUGGCGGGGUAAAGGCCCACCAAGGCGACGAUCCGUAGCUGGUCUGAGAGGAUGAUCAGCCACACUGGAACUGAGACACGGUCCAGACUCCUACGGGAGGCAGCAGUGGGGAAUAUUGGACAAUGGGCGCAAGCCUGAUCCAGCCAUACCGCGUGGGUGCAGAAGGCCUUCGGGUUGUAAAGCCCUUUUGUUGGGAAAGAAAAGCAGCAGGUUAAUACCCCGCUGUUCUGACGGUACCCAAAGAAUAAGCACCGGCUAACUUCGUG